ACUCAACCCUUCCUCUGCCCACUCACAGAGUCACCCUCUUUUCUUUUUCCCUUUCUUUUACUCUUUCUUUCUCCCUCCCACCCCUUCACCUUCCGCCUUCCUUUUUCCCUAAAUAAUCCUGUAACCCCACCGGAUCCGCACCCUACAGGGCCACAAGAAGCGAUCCCCCUCCUACCAGUUCGUCGGUGCAGGCGAGCCCUCGGACGGCCUAAAGCGGAUCUUGGUCGCUGUCGCCCGGCCCUCUCACUAGUUCGUCGACGCGCCGGCCCUCCGACGGCUUGAAGCGAACCCCGUACACCGCAGCCCUCUCUCAUCGGUUUACUUUUUGCCCUCUACAGGCCAUCGCCUGAUCUGCAACCCCCGGUCACUCCCCCUGUCACCCUGCACUCUACGCCCUUUGUUAGCUCGCAGCUUGUCGCACCCAUCGCCUCUCAAUCGCUGGUUCAUGUGCAUGCUUCAUCGUCUCUCGGUCACCGCCGCCGCAGCCGCCGCCAUACCCACCAUGAUUUUUUGAGAUAAACGUGUGCGCGAGAUUGCCUUGAAGGCCAUGGGGCAAGUUAUCAGCAAGACAGUGGCCAUUGCAGAGAUUAUUAAGAAAAGAAUACGGAAACAACCGAGGUAGUAUUUCAAAUCUACUCCUUCCAUGAUUAAUUAAGUUAUGAAUUAUGAUGUAAACAACCGAGGUAUAUGGAGGAUACGGCGGAUAUGGCUACAGUCAAGGUGGAUAUGGAGGAUAUGGAAACAACCAAGAAAAUGGUGGAUGGAACACGAACUGGUCUCGAGGUGGCGGGCGAGGCAGAGGGAACUGGGGCUAUGGUGGUAAGCUCUUGUCAUUCAUUUGAACUCUUCUAUUUCUGUUUUAUGCACCCAGAUAAGAUCGCUUGGUUUCUAUAUUAGUUAGGGAUGUAGAGCACAUUCCUUUUUGCUUCCGAGUCAUCCGACGUUGAAAUCAUGAUAACUAGUGCAAAAGCAAAGGUAGGCUCUUUCAGAUUUUGCAAAUGUGGGUUGGCUUAUAUUGUUUGGGGAUUUUAGCAUGGUGGAGGUCUAUGCAUACAUCCUUGUAAAUUAUAUAUUUUUUAGCAUUUGUCUUGACAUUUUGGUUUAGUUUGAUUUUCUUGUUCCUCUCCUUAAUAGAUGGACAUGAGAGACAGAUUUAAUUAAGAUUAAAUAAUCUGAGCUGGUUAGUUUGCUGAUGAUUUUCUCCUACACUAAGGAAAAACCUACACAUAGUACAAAUUUAGGGUUUUGCUGUAACUCAAUAGGCUUUGAUGGAACCUUGUUACAGGCCUUUAGCAUUUGAAAGUGUAAAGACAUAGUUGGCCACUCUCCUCAUUAAACCUAACACGAAGCACUUGCCUCAGACGAAGUAGUGCUUCAUUUCUUUUCACCAUACGUCCAGCUAAUAAUUUUGGUAUUACAAACUGUGUAAGAGGGAGAUUCUUCAACUUCUCUAGUAUGAUGAGGUCAUUCUGAGAUCAAAGGUACUGUAAUUUUAACAGCUUAUUAUUUGUUCCACCAGCAUAUUUUUAGCUGCAGAAAUAAACUAAUGCAUUAAAAACGAAUUGUUGUUUCCAUUUUAUAUGUACCGUGCUUUUACCAUUUCUGUGCAGGAUAUGAACAUGGCCGAGGUGGUGGGGGGCUGGGGGGCAGAGUGUUUAUGAUAAUUCUUGGGACAAGAAAGACAAUGAAUUGCAAGCUCCCUUUUUUGUUUUUAUGUUGACCUUUUUUUUGGAAAAAUGACGGUUGUACUUUUUUUUAGCACUUUGUUAUUUUGGUAUGGUAGUAUUUCAUUUCAGCACUUUGUUCUUUUGGUGAAUGUUGACUACUAUAUGUGUAAUGGGGUGAUGGUAACUAUAUAUGUACUAGAUGAAUGAUUAGGAAAAAGAAUAUGAAAAUGUGGAUGCUAAUUACUUUUAUUGUUAAUGAAGUUUUAUUACAAGUUUAUAAA